GUACACACCGCCCGUCGCUACUACCGAUUGGAUGGUUGGGUGAGGAGGCAAGGGAUUGGGGGCUAGUCCCUCGAUCGAAUGCGGCCGAACCCUAUCAUCUAGAGGAAGUAAAAGUCGUAACAAGGUUUCCGUAGGUGAACCUGCAGAAGGAUCA
rnacentral:rRNA from 1 species